AAGUUGCCUGAGCUGAUAUCUUUUGCAGGAAUUCCUAACCUCUGGUUCAAGUAUCCUUGUGAGUUGUCCAUGGAGAGAUUUUAGAAAAUGGAAAAUCCCUCUGAGGAUCAGACAGAUUGAAAAAUCUCCUAAAAUAAGUUGACUUAACUACUCCUCCCUCAGCCUGAAACUAUUUCUGCAUUCCAGAGGUUUCUGGAAGUGGUAGCUUCAAUGGAAUCACAAAAGACGAUGCUGCCGGGGGAUGUCAGGACACAGAGUGUCCCUCAGAUGACGUAUCAGGAAUGUCUGAAAAUAUGUGCAAUAAGGUGAUGGCCUUCAGAGUCCAGGAAUUCAGAAAUAAAUGAGAAGAAGCCACAACUUACCUGAUAUAAUCACCUUGGAAGAUGACCCUAAACUUCAGACAAGAUUGCAGCCCCAGCCAAUAUUUUGAUUUCAGCUUAGGGCAACCCUGAGCGAAGACCUUGCCAACCUGUGCUCAGAUUCUUGACCAAGGAAAACCAUGAGAUAAUAAAAUCUGUGUUGUUUUAAGCUACUAAAUUUUGAAUGACG
rnacentral:lncRNA from 9 species